AGUUUCAUCAGCAGACCUCAGACGUCGCGCAGACUCAACAGCACUCAGUGACAACCCUGGCUGAAAAGAUGAAGAUGCACUCGGUGCUUUACUUGGGUCUUUUAUUCAGUAUCUGUUAUCAAACAAGUGCGGGAGACAAUAAGGUCCAGAGAUACGAUCCUUCCGAAUAUAACGAUUUACUGCAACUACUACAAGGCUGGACUCUGACAACGCCCUCUGCUUCCAUGACUACGUUACCUCCCUUGGACAAUCUAGGUGGCGCUGUUGUGCACAAGGGAUACCGGGAGUCGGGGGAUAUUGAAGGGGACCUGUAUCAACAGGAACCAAAAUCGGACAAUGGAGUCCCAGAAAACAAAGUGUCAUCUGAUAGUCUGGAUGAAGAUUAUUUCGAGCGAUUCCAGGACAAGUAUCCCUCUGAGAGUGAAUUUGACAAAGUUUCAGAAACAUAUAAUGACGAGGACCCCUCUGAUGACAAAGAAAAGCGAGUUUUGAAUAGCUUAGGUGGAUUUUCUUUGCAUGGCUAUAAAAGAGGACUUAGUUCCCUUGGAGGGCUAAAUCUUCAUAAUUUUGCUAAACGCGGACUAAACUCUCUUGGAGGAAUGUCUCUUCAUGAUUUCAAACGCGGACUGAGCAGUCUUGGGGGAAUGAGUCUCCACAAUUUCAACAAGAGGGGGUUAAAUUCUCUUGGUGGAUUUGGACUUCAUAAUUAUAAAAGAGCUCUUAGUUCUCUUGGUGGAUACUCACUUCACGGCUAUAAGAGAGGACUCAGUUCCCUUGGAGGCAUGUCAUUGCACGGGGGCUUUAACAAACGAGGUCUUAGCAGUCUAGGCGGAAUGUCUCUUCAUGGCGGAUUUUCAAAACGAGGCCUAAGUUCCCUUGGCGGAAUGUCUCUUCAUGGCGGAUUUUCAAAACGAGGCUUAAGUUCCCUUGGCGGCAUGUCGCUCCAUGGCGGAUUUUCAAAACGAGGCUUAAGUUCUCUUGGCGGCAUGUCGCUCCACGGUGGAUUUUCAAAACGAGGCUUAAGUUCUCUCGGUGGUAUGUCGCUCCACGGUGGAUUUUCUCAAAACGAGGCCUAAGUUCUCUUGGCGGUAUGUCACUCCACGGCGGAUUUUCAAAACGAGGCUUAAGUUCUCUAGGAGGGUUUAGAUUACAUGGAUAUAAGCGAGCUCUCAGCAACCUUGGUGGAAUGAACCUUUACAACUUUAAAAGAUCUCUUAAUGACUUAGAGAAAAACAAUAACUCGGAAUCCCCUUACGAUAAUCUUGAAUCGAGUGACAUUAUGUCCGGUACCAUGGACGCGUCGAAACAUAAGCGAUCAGUUCCUAGUGAACCAAGAACAGACAAUUAAUCUGAAUCUUAAACAUAAAACUUUUUAAAAAUUUUCUUGUAAAGAUUUAUACAUAUCAAGUUUUGAAUGACACCAUUGAUUUUAUUAUUGUAAACUAUUCCUAAUACAAAGUGAAGACGAUUGCUUUAUGUUUUCCGUCCGGUCCGAGUUUUUGAUUUCUCCACGAAUACUAUGAUAAAAACUGGUAUAGGUCCAAUGAGUGACAUAUUUUGAUAUUUUAUUGAUAUUUCCUCUGUAACUGCCAUGUUAAUCUAAAUGAACGUAGAGAGGACACUGUUUAUUCACAAAGUUAAUCAAGCUGUAAAUAAAUUCAUACUUUUGUCGC
rnacentral:misc_RNA from 1 species